rnacentral:rRNA from 1 species
GACGAACGCUGGCGGCGUGCCUAAUACAUGCAAGUUGAGCGAUGAAGAUUGGUGCUUGCACCAAUUUGAAGAGCAGCGAACGGGUGAGUAACGCGUGGGGAACCUGCCUUUGAGCGGGGGACAACAUUUGGAAACGAAUGCUAAUACCGCAUAACAACUUUAAACAUAAGUUUUAAGUUUGAAAGAUGCAAUUGCAUCACUCCAAGAUGAUCCCGCGUUGUAUUAGCUAGUAGGUGAGGUAAAGGCUCACCAAGGCGAUGAUACAUAGCCGACCUGAGAGGGUGAUCGGCCACAUUGGGACUGAGACACGGCCCAGACUCCUACGGGAGGCAGCAGUAGGGAAUCUUCGGCAAUGGACGAAAGUCUGACCGAGCAACGCCGCGUGAGUGAAGAAGGUUUUCGGAUCGUAAAACUCUGUUGGUAGAGAAGAACGUUGGUGAGAGUGGAAAGCUCAUCAAGUGACGGUAACUACCCAGAAAGGGACGGCUAACUACGUG